rnacentral:rRNA from 1 species
UACGGGGGGAGCAAGCGUUGUUCGGAUUUACUGGGCGUAAAGGGCGCGUAGGCGGUCAGCACAAGUCAGUUGUGAAAUCUCCGGGCUUAACUCGGAAAGGUCAACUGAUACUGUGCGACUAGAGUGCGGAAGGGGCAACUGGAAUUCUUGGUGUAGCGGUGAAAUGCGUAGAUAUCAGGAGGAAUACCGAUGGCGAAGGCAGGUCUCUGGGCUAACACUGACGCUCAUGCACGAAAGCGUGGGGAGCAAACAGG